rnacentral:rRNA from 1 species
GAUGAACGCUGGUGGCGUGCCUAACACAUGCAAGUCGAGCGAUUCUCUUCGGAGAAGAGCGGCCUACGGGUGAGUAACGCGUGGGUAACCUGCCCUGUACACCCGGACUAUAUACCGAAAGUAACUCUAAUAAGAGAUAACAUGCUUUUAUCGCAUUGUAGAAGCAUCAAAGGCUUUGCGGUACAGGAUGGACCCUCUUCGGUUUAGCUAGUUGCUGAGGUAAUGGCCCACCAAGGCGACGAUCAGCAUACGAGCUGAGAGAGUGAUCGGCGACAUUGGAAGGGGGACACGGUCCAAACUCCUACGGGAGGCGGCAGUGGGGAAUAGUGCACAGUGGGCGAAAGGCUGAUGCAGCACCGCCGCGUGAGCGAUGAAGGCCUGCGAGUCGUAAAGCGCUGUCCUCAAGGAAGAUAAUGACGGUACUUGAGGAGGAAGCCCCGGCUAACUACGUG